rnacentral:sRNA from 21 species
UAAUAGUUCCGGUAAGUAAGGCUACUAUAGGGAUAUGGGUUACUGCCGCAAAAUAGUGGAGACACUAUGCGCUGGUUUGAACAGGCAACAUCGAAACCAAGGUGUUAUCUAAUGUAACUUCACCGCCCUACAGAGUUAAAGCUCAAACGGUGGUAAAAAAUA